GGCAGGUCAGGGCGUUUAUCGCGGCGGGUCUGUAAAACCGUCGGCUUCGCCUACGCAAGUUCGAACCUUGCACCUGCCACCA
rnacentral:tRNA from 1 species